GCGAUCAUAACAGCACUAAUGCACCGAAUCCUAUCUGAACUCCGCAGUUAAGAGUGCUUGGGUGAGAGCAGUACUAGGAUGGAUGACCCCCCCUAUGGUCCUU